AGGUGGGGUCCUCAGUUCGAGCAAGCAACUUACAAGAAUCGCCAACGCCUCUACCUUUCGGAGCAGACCGAUGGAAGUGUUCCGAAUACUCUUGUUGUUGCAAAUUGUGAAAUUGUCAAACCCAGGGUUGCAGCUGCCGAACAUAUUUCACAGUUCAAUGAGGAAGCACGUUCGCCAUUUGUGAAAAAGUCCAAAACUAUCAUUCACCCUGGAGAGGUCAACAGAAU
rnacentral:misc_RNA from 1 species